CAGCCGCCACGGUAAUACGAAGGGGGCUAGCGUUGUUCGGAUUUACUGGGCGUAAAGGGUGCGUAGGCGGAUUGUUAAGUCAGGGGUGAAAUCCCGAGGCUCAACCUCGGAACUGCCUUUGAUACUGGCGAUCUUGAGUAUGGAAGAGGUUAGUGGAAUUGCGAGUGUAGAGGUGAAAUUCGUAGAUAUUCGCAAGAACACCAGUGGCGAAGGCGGCUCACUGGACGCGUAUUGACGCUGAGGUACGAAAGCGUGGGGAGCAAACAGGAUUAGAUACCCCUGUAGUCCCUGUCUCUUAUAC
rnacentral:rRNA from 1 species